rnacentral:tRNA from 1 species
ACGCUACUAGGCAACAUGGUUGAGCCGGGGACUUUUAAUCCGUAGGUUCUGGGUUCGAGCCCCAGGCGGCCCA